GACGAACGCUGGCGGCGUGCUUAACACAUGCAAGUCGAGCGGAAAGGCCCUUCGGGGUACUCGAGCGGCGAACGGGUGAGUAACACGUGAGUAACCUGCCCUAGGCUUUGGGAUAACCCCGGGAAACCGGGGCUAAUACCGGAUAUGACCUGGUGCCGCAUGGUGUUGGGUGGAAAGUUUUUUCGGCCUGGGAUGGGUCCGCGGCCUAUCAGCUUGUUGGUGGGGUGAUGGCCUACCAAGGCGAUGACGGGUAGCCGGCCUGAGAGGGCGACCGGCCACACUGGGACUGAGGCACGGCCCAGACUCCUACGGGAGGCAGCAGUGGGGAAUAUUGCACAAUGGGCGGAAGCCUGAUGCAGCGACGCCGUGUGAGGGAUGAAGGCCUUCGGGUUGUAAACCUCUUUCAGCAGGGACGAAGCGUGAGUGACGGUACCUGCAGAAGAAGCGCCGGCCAACUACGUG
rnacentral:rRNA from 1 species